rnacentral:rRNA from 1 species
AUUGAACGCUGGCGGCAUGCCUUACACAUGCAAGUCGAACGGCAGCAUGAUCUAGCUUGCUAGAUUGAUGGCGAGUGGCGAACGGGUGAGUAAUACAUCGGAACGUGCCCUGUAGUGGGGGAUAACUAGUCGAAAGAUUAGCUAAUACCGCAUACGACCUGAGGGUGAAAGUGGGGGACCGCAAGGCCUCAUGCUAUAGGAGCGGCCGAUGUCUGAUUAGCUAGUUGGUGAGGUAAAGGCUCACCAAGGCGACGAUCAGUAGCUGGUCUGAGAGGACGAUCAGCCACACUGGGACUGAGACACGGCCCAGACUCCUACGGGAGGCAGCAGCGGGGAAUUUUGGACAAUGGGCGAAAGCCUGAUCCAGCAAUGCCGCGUGUGUGAAGAAGGCCUUCGGGUUGUAAAGCACUUUUGUCCGGAAAGAAAUGGCUCUGGUUAAUACCUGGGGUCGAUGACGGUACCGGAAGAAUAAGGACCGGCUAACUACGUG